rnacentral:rRNA from 1 species
GGACCCGCACAAGCGGUGGAGCAUGUGGUUUAAAUUCGAUGCAACGCGAAGAACCUUACCUGCCCUUGACAUACUCGGAACUUGCCAGAGAUAGAUUGGUGCCUUCGGGAACGCAGUGACAGGUGCUGCAUGGCUGUCGUCAGCUCGUGUCGUGAGAUGUUGGGUUAAGUCCCGUAACGAGCGCAACCCUUGUCCUUAUUUGCCAUCAUUUAGUUGGGCACUCUAGGGAGACUGCCGGUGACAAACCGGAGGAAGGUGGGGGACGACGUCAAGUCAUCAUGGCCCUUACGACCAGGGCUACACACGUGCUACAAUGGGGCGUACAAAGGGUUGCAAUCCCAAAAAGCUAUCUCA